AGGACGAACGCUGGCGGCGUGCCUAACACAUGCAAGUCGAACGGGGGUAAGCUCUUCGGAACUUACUUAGUGGCGAACGGGUGAGUAACGCGUGAGAAACCUGCCUUUCAGUGGGGGACAACAGUUGGAAACGACUGCUAAUACCGCAUAAUGUUUCGAGAGGGCAUCCUCUUGAAACCAAAGCUUUAUGUGCUGAAAGAUGGUCUCGCGUCUGAUUAGCUAGUUGGUGAGGUAACGGCUCACCAAGGCGACGAUCAGUAGCCGGUCUGAGAGGAUGAACGGCCACAUUGGGACUGAGAUACGGCCCAGACUCCUACGGGAGGCAGCAGUGGGGAAUAUUGGGCAAUGGGGGAAACCCUGACCCAGCAACGCCGCGUGAAGGAAGAAGGCCUUCGGGUUGUAAACUUCUUUUACCAGGGACGAAGAACGUGACGGUACCUGGAGAAAAAGCAACGGCUAACUACGUG
rnacentral:rRNA from 1 species